ensembl:snRNA Gm22974 predicted gene, 22974
AUAUUGCUUUAACUGUCUAACUAAAAUUGGAAUGAUACAGAGAAGAUUAGCAUGGCCCCUGGGCAAGGAUGAAACGCAAAUUCGUGAAGCAUUCUAUAUUUUU